ACAACAAUGUGACUGCUUCGCAAGAAAAAGGCUGUGAAUCUUUUGUAAAUGAUGCUGAAAUGCUAGAUAUUAAUACAAAGAAAGGCUCUGUCGAUAAAAAUACAUGCUUUGAAGAAACUGCUACACAAAGAGAAAACUGUGAAUCUCUUAAAAAUGAUGAUGCUCAAGUACUAUUAAAUGAUGAUACAAGAAUAGCAUUUAUCGAUGAAAAUAUAUACAACGGUAUGACUGCCUCGCAAGAAAAAGGCUGUGAAUCUUUUGUAAUUGAUGCUGAA